UUAGAUCUCGACAUUGCAAAGCAUUAUAAAGUAGAAGAUCAGAGCUAUGAAGUGCAACAAUAGGCAGCAUAGGACGACUUAAGCACGAGCUUGUUGCUAUUGCUAAUGUGACAAAGGUGAAAGAUGUAAGAUAUUAGAGCACAGUGUCAUAAUACAUGAAGUCUUGCUUGAGAAUGCUUCAAGCACCUGGUUGUGGAAGAUAGAAUGGAAAUUAUAACAACAAAAUCCUAAUUCUAAUGGAACACUAAUAAUGCUAAACAAGCUUUAAUCAAAUUCAAAGAAACAAUAAGAAAUCUCAAAGAAAUAUUACAAUGAUUACAAACAUAUCUCAAAUAUAUCUCAAUUCAAUCUUAAUUUAAUCCUAGUUGAAAUCUUAUUAGACUUCAUUCAAACUUUAAGCCAAAAACUAAUUAAAUCUUAAAUCCUAAACAAACUCAAAUAAAAUCCUAAAUUCUAUAUCAAAUCUUGAUCAAAUCCUAAUCAAACCUUAAAUCCUAAAUCAAACCCUAAAUUCUAAACCAAAUCCUAAAUCCUAAAUCAAAUCCUAACCAAAUCUUAAAUCUUAAAUCAAACCCUAAUCAAAUCCUAAAUCCUAAAUUAAACCCUAAUCUUAAAUCACAUCCUAACCAAAUCCUAAUCCUAAAUCAAAUCCUAACUAAAUCCUAAUCCUAAAUCAAAUUCUAACCAACCCUAAACUAAACUCUAAAUCUUAAAUCAAAUCCUAAUCAAAUCCUAAUUAAAUCCUAAUCUUAAAUCAAAUCCUAACCAAAUCCUAAAUUUUAAACCAAAUCUUAACCAAAUCCUAAUCCUAAAUCAAAUCCUAACCAAAUCCUAACCAAGUCCUAAUCCUAAAUCAAACCCUAAUCAAAUCCUAAUCCUAAAUCAAAUCCUAGCCAACCUUAAACCAAAUCCUAACCAACCCUAAACUGAAUCCUAACCAAAUCCUAAUCUUAAAUCAAAUCCUAACCAAACCCUAAAUCCUAAAUCAAAUCUUAAUCAAAUUCUAAUCCUAAAUCAAACCAUGACCAAACUCUAAACCUUAAAUCAAAUCCUAUUCCUAAAUCGAACUCUAAUCAAACUCUAAACCCUAAACCAAACCUUAAUCCUAAAUCAAACCCUAACCAAAUCCUAAUCAAACUCUAGUAAUUUCUAUAAAAGAUUUAAACCUCAAUAACUAAUGAAUGAACCGUUGAUCUUAAUUCAAAUUUUUUAAACUUCUUAAAAACUAAGUUGAAAACAAGCACAAAAAAUCUGAAAAGGAUCGGAAUUACCAAAUAGUCGAUAAUCUCAAAAACGUGCUUGGAUAUUGGUCAGCCUUCUUCUCCGACCUUGAUGUUAAUCUCCUAGAGCCAAUAUCUCUCCUUUUCACCAUUCGAUUGAUCUAAAAAUUCUCAUAUACAUAGAAAAAUAAGUCUAAUAUCUUUUUACAUAAAUUUCACUCCAAUCCAACAAGUAGAUUACAAGAAAUCUUAAAAACCCUCAUUAGACCUAGAAUUCUACUUUCUAGGACCUUGACUCACUAAAACCUCAAUAAUCCUUAAUUCAACCGUUAGAUUGAGCUAAGAUUUAUAAAAUGUAUUAAGCACAACUACAACCAUUAAUUCA
rnacentral:lncRNA from 1 species